rnacentral:lncRNA from 1 species
CCCCGGCUCACACCCCUCCCCCUCGCACGCCCUCCGGCCUCCCCCCGCGGCCCGCGGGGAGCCCGGUCCUCCCCGGCCGGCUCCUCCCGCCGCCCCCGUCCCCUUCCCCAUCGCGCCCCCCGCCGCCCCCUGCACCCCUCCCCGUUCGGCCCGCGAGGACUGGGCGGGGGCCGCCCGCAGUCGGGGACCCUUCUGCGCCGCGAGGAGGCCGGCCCAGUGUCGUAAAGCGCUCCGGAGAAUGACUGUCACCGGACAGACCGCCUCUGCACGACGUGAAGACUCGCUGUCGCUGUCGCUCGGGAGGAAGAAGGAGGGCUGCGGGAGCGAGCGCUGUCAGCAGCACAGGUGGCUCAGGUCCCAGGAAGCCAGUUGCAAACCAGAGUGUUGGGCUUGGGAAGAACCCAUCGUCCUUGGCCUGCAGGCCUGUGACUCCUACUCUUGCUGCUGAUUCUACAGACAGCCUCUUCCUCGAGUGUAUUUUCCCCCAGCAAUUACACUCCUCCACUGAAAUCUAAAUUUUCCAUACUGCUGCCUGCUACUAAUAAAAACCGUCUACCUUGCA